UUAGAUACCCUGGUAGUCCACGCCGUAAACGAUGAGUGCUAAGUGUUAGGGGGUUUCCGCCCCUUAGUGCUGCAGCUAACGCAUUAAGCACUCCGCCUGGGGAGUACGGCCGCAAGGCUGAAACUCAAAGGAAUUGACGGGGGCCCGCACAAGCGGUGGAGCAUGUGGUUUAAUUCGAAGCAACGCGAAGAACCUUACCAGGUCUUGACAUCUCCUGACCGCCCUGGAGACAGGGUCUUCCCUUCGGGGACAGGAUGACAGGUGGUGCAUGGUUGUCGUCAGCUCGUGUCGUGAGAUGUUGGGUUAAGUCCCGCAACGAGCGCAACCCUUGUCCUUAGUUGCCAGCAUUCAGUUGGGCACUCUAAGGAGACUGCCGGCUAAAAGUCGGAGGAAGGUGGGGAUGACGUCAAAUCAUCAUGCCCCUUAUGACCUGGGCUACACACGUGCUACAAUGGGCGGUACAGAGGGUCGCGAACCCGCGAGGGGGAGCCAAUCCCAAAAAACCGCUCUCAGUUCGGAUUGCAGGCUGCAACUCGCCUGCAUGAAGCCGGAAUCGCUAGUAAUCGCGGAACAGCAUGCUGCGGUGAAUACGUUCCCGGGCCUUGUACACACCGCCCGUCACACCACGAGAGUUUGCAACACCCGAAGUCGGUGAGGUAACCGCAAGGAGCCAGCCGCCGAAGGUGGGACAGAUGAUUGGGGUG
rnacentral:rRNA from 1 species